rfam:Proteus mirabilis strain HI4320, complete genome
AAUCGACAUUAAAGAUUCAUUUUGUGAACCUUGACCGACCGCUAAAUAGGCAUUCAUAUUCAGCUCUUUCAUCUGCUCUUCACCAAUGACUCGGGUAGAGACAUUCGCGGAUGAGUCAGCGAGUUGGCGAGCUUGAGAGGCUAAGUAUGCCGCAUUACAGAUAUUAGGUGGCAUAUUAGCUAAAUCUUUACA